CCCCAAUAACACGAUUCUUUAUGUAUUAAAAACCGUUUUAUUGGUGGGGUGAUUUUUACAUUUUGUGUUCUAUUCAUUCAUUUCUCUCUAACGCUUCUGAAAUGAAGUGCUUCUUUCUCUGAAGCAAGAAGAGGAUAAAUUUCAGAUGUCGAUAUCGUGGUUUGACUCUGCAAGUAUUGAUCAUCAUUUUUGACAUCCCCAGUCUCAGAAGUGUAAUGUUUUGGUCGAAAUCGGCAAAUCCUAUUUUCCUGACUAAAUGCCACGUAAAGCUUAAAACCAAGUGUUUAAGAUUAGGGUCAUAGCUGCAGAUGGAGGGACGUAACUAUCGGCUCCUCCUUUUGCUGCUAAUUUCACUCUUUCAUAGUCCUGUGUGCUCAACUAGUAGUUCAAUUACUCAUCUUUUUCCUCCUCUUUCUGUUGUCAGUAGUUCAAUCAGGAACCAAUAGCAUCUCUGCAACACCUACGCAAAGGUCGUUUUCUUGGAACUUUCUUGGAGUCCCCACCUUUACGACGAUUUGGCAUUUUGAAGGCAAUUGCAGAGUACAAAGGUUGUCUUCUAUUUUUAGUUAUGUCUGGUUACAACACCCUUUCUGAUGCUCCUACUGGUGAUUCAAAUAUUUAUUCUAAUCCUCCAAGGACUUACCAAGUUGUGGUAGCAGCAACUAGAAAUAUGGGCAUAGGAGAGGAUGGCAAAUUGCCAUGGAGAUUACCUUCUGAUCUUAAGUUUUUCGAGGAGGUAACUAUGGGUUCAUCAGAUCCUUCUAAAAGGAGUGGUUAUGGAUAGAAAAACAUGGGAAAGUAUUCCGACGGAAUAUCGACCCUUGCCUGGCCGUCUAAAUGUUGUGCUUACCCGUUCGGGAAGUUUUGACAUUGCAACUGCGGAGAAUGUUAUUAGCUGUUCAAGCAUGUCUUCUGCUUUGGAACUAUUGGCAGCAUCUCCUUAUUGUCUAUCAAUUGAGAAAUUUUGCGUCAUAGGAGGUGGUCAAGUAUUGAGGAAAGCUCUCAAUGCUCCUGGAUGCGAUGCUAUCCUCCCAAAUGUAUCAAUGAUCUGCUGACAUGGGUCUCGGUGUGCCGUUUAACAUUGCAUCUUAUUCUCUUUUGACAUGCAUGAUUGCUCAUGUUUGCGAUCUCGUUCCUGGUAAUUUUGUCCAUGCUAUUUGGUGAUGCCCAUGUUUACAAAACUCAUGUCAGGCCUCUACAGAAGCAAUUUCAGAAACUUCCUAGACCUUUUCCUACAUUGAAGAUCAGUUCUGAGAAGAAGGAUAUAGAUUCUUUCGUGGCGACUGAUUUCAAACUAAUGGAUUAUGAUCCCCGUCGGAAGAUAGAGAUGAAAAUGGCAGUUUUCCCCGAACACUAAUAAUUUGAGUAAGCAAACUGCACAUACUGCUAAAUCAUUUUUAUAUUUUACACUUAUAAAAAAAAACCCAGAUAUUUGUGUGUUUUUUUCUUCCUGUUUCAUUUUUUCAUGUACUGAAAUGAGAAUUCUAGGAUAGAUUAAUGUUAUUUUUUCAGUGCUCUGC